UUCGGACCUGACUGCUAUCGGAUUGAUACUAAGCCAUGCGAGUCAUUGUAGUAAUACAAGGCAGACGGCUCAGUAACGCGUAGUCAACCUAACCUAUGGACGGGAAUAACCUCGGGAAACUGAGUAUAAUGCCCGAUAGAACAUUAUGCCUGGAAUGGUUUAUGUUCCAAAUGAUUUAUCGCCGUAGGAUGGGACUGCGGCCUAUCAGUUUGUUGGUGAGGUAAUGGCCCACCAAGACUAUUACAGGUACGGGCUCUGAGAGGAGUAGCCCGGAGAUGGGUACUGAGACACGGACCCAGGCCCUAUGGGGCGCAGCAGGCGAGAAAACUUUGCAAUGUGCGAAAGCACGACAAGGUUAAUCCGAGUGGUUUCUGCUAAAGGAACCUUUUGACAGUCCUAGAAACACUGUUGAAUAAGGGGUGGGCAAGUUCUGGUGU
rnacentral:rRNA from 1 species